UUGCGAUUGUGUAGGCUACUUUGUGCAUGAUUUCUCUAUUGUACUACAUAAUUGAUAACUCGUAUACCUCCACCACAGUACCUUGAAGUACCUUUUAUAAAGGCUAUUAAGAUACGAAUGUUUCAAGAAAGGAGUGAAUAUAUUUGGUCUGGCGAAGCGGUUUUAUACGCUGACUGAAUGGAAGCUGAUAAUUGAGUUUUUUUACUCUGCUGGUCUCGGGAAGAAAUUACGAGUCCUCACUGUCCGAGAGUCAAGACCGAGUACAAAUGUAUCCAACACCAAGACAAGACCGCAACACUCAAUAAUAUGGUCUCGAGACUGGAAUUCUCGGUCUCGAGUACUACAACACUGGAGCGGUGCUUCCAGUAGGCGGCCUCCUCCUGGGUGAGUAUUUCAUCGAGCACCUGAGCAGCAUGGUAGUAGUCCAGGUGGGUGGCGGUAGUAUCCGGGCUGGGAAUCUGGUGCCUCAAGCCGGGGUGUUCCAGGCUCUACUGGACAGCCAGACUCUGGUUGCCCGUAUCCACCUGGUGGAGCUUCUGCAUGGGCUCAGAGAGGACUGGGGCUCUGGGGAGAUGGGUUUGCAGGGUCUGCAGGCCCAGAGGAAGGAGACUGAGCUGGGACGGAUCCAGGCUGCAGCCAAGGAGAAGGAGCAGGCCUGGGGGAAGGUGCUACACUGUCACCUGCAGCUGCUGAGCCGGCUGGAGACCCUGCUGGACUGGGCCUGGGGCAUUGCCCAGGAUGGUAGCAUCCAAGGACUGGUUGCGAUUAGUUUCGGGGCCCUGACAGUGGACCCUGUAACAGGGGUGCUGGCUCCUGUUGUGGAGGUUUUCCUGGAUGUGUCCAGACAGACUGCCGUACCUGUUACUGCUUCAUACUGCCUGGCUCUGGGAGAUAAUCCUGACAGUGUGCUGAUAAGGAAGGUGGAGGCCCUGCAAGAUGAGUGGUGUCUGAGGAGCAGGUACUGGAAGCAGGAGAAACAGAAGGAGGAGGAGCUGCUAGGAGAUCUGGAGUCUCCUUGUGGCCACUCAAGAGGACUCUGAGCAGGUAAACUGAACUAGGCUGCAGGGCAGGCAGAUGGAUGGGGCUGCACAGUCCUCAACAAACAGGAAAGGAUUUCUCUUAUGCUGAGUUGUUUGAAUGCAUACAUGUCAUUUUGAUUUACGUUAAUAUCCCUAGUGGCAUUACUGUAUAAUGGAGACCCCUAUACAUUGUGUUUGUGUGUGCACAUGCCUGUAUGUGUGUGAGUUUGUGUGUGUGUGUGCACUGUAGGCCCACUGGGUGGACAGAGAGGAAGCUGAGGGUGGCUGCAGCGGAGCUUCAGGAGACUGACCAGUCAGAAUCCCAGAGGAGAGUGUCCCAGCUCUCAGACCUGUCUCUGCUCCUGCCGCCUCACGUUCUGCUUGUCGUCACUCAAGGUGAUGAUAAGGAGUGGGAGCAGCACUGCUGCUGGCAGACAAAGCUGGUGGCUGGCCUGGACAGGGUGAACGUGUUUGCAGAGAAACUGCAGCAGGACCAGGAAAGAUGAGAGGAGAGCAGACGGAGAGCACAGAGAGGAGAGCACAGAGAGGAGAGGAGACGGCAUCAAUCUAUGUCAUGGAUAGGAAAGUAAGACAGAGAAAUAUGGGAGCAGCUAAUCUCCAGGCAGAAAUACUCUGCCAGGUCUGCGCAGAUAUAGUGCAGACCAUUUCCGGAGACCUUCUCCCCUACCUCACCUCGCUCAUCAACGCAUCCUUGACCGCUGGCUACGUCCCUUCCGUCUUCAAGAGAGCGAGAGUUGCACCCCUUCUGAAAAAACCUACACUCGAUCCCUCCGAUGUCAACAACUACAGACCUAUCUGCUGCCUUUGAUACCGUGAACCAUCAGAUCCUCCUCUCCACCCUCUCCGAGCUGGGCAUCUCCGGCACCGCGCACGCUUGGAUUGCGUUCUACCUGACAGGUCGCUCCUACCAGGUGGCGAAUCGCAUCUCUGCAUGUCUGGCAGACAUAUCAGUGUGGAUGACGGAUCACCACCUCAAGCUGAACCUCGGCAAGACGGAGCUGCUCUUCCUCCCGGGGAAGGACUGCCCGUUCCAUGAUCUCGCCAUCACGGUUGACAACUCCCUUGUGUCCUCCUCCCAGAGUGCUAAGAGCCUUGGCGUGACCCUGGACAACACCCUGUCGUUCUCCACCAACAUCAAGGCGGUGACCCGAUCC
rnacentral:lncRNA from 1 species